GGAAUAUUGAAAGUGCGGUCUUUAUCUUAGGUGGUUUGCCUCAGAACCCGACCUGAGACAAGAAUGUAAAAGCAAGCAGUUAAUUUGAUAGGUAGAGGAUGGGAAAGUGAGACAGGGAGGAGGAAAAUCAGUAGAAUGCUUCAAUGAGCACAUUGCCCAUGAGCUAUGGGAGCUCUGUGUUCUGGAGAACCCAGAGUGUUGUGUAGAAAUCACCUCCACAUUGCCCCACCCAGGGUCGAUGAAGCCGAGACGUUUAUACGCCAUCUCCCCUUCCUUAUUGUUUACGAGCUACAUUACAGGCGUUAAAGGUCCAGAUUUUCCAGCCUGCUUCAUGGGCUGUUCUCGGGAAGGGUUUGUAGGUGCAUUUAUUAAGACGCCGGCGCUCUGCAUCUGGAAAUGGUGAGCACCCCAGGGAAGAGCUUGGGUAUGGACAGCAUUCUCUAGAGUCCUUCCUUGAAUACCGUGUAAAGCAGUGUUGUGCACAUCACAGGCAUUGGAAUAUCUCUAGAAAUGGUUGCUUUGCAAAAAAGGCAAGAACAUUCAAGGGUGUGGGGUUUUUUUUUUGGGGGGGGG
rnacentral:lncRNA from 1 species